rnacentral:rRNA from 1 species
CGAAAGCCUGAUCCAGCAAUGCCGCGUGUGGGAAGAAGGCCUUCGGGUUGUAAACCACUUUUGUACGGAACGAAACGGUUCGCUUUAAUACAGUGGGCUAAUGACGGUACCGUAAGAAUAAGCACCGGCUAACUACGUGCCAGCAGCCGCGGUAAUACGUAGGGUGCGAGCGUUAAUCGGAAUUACUGGGCGUAAAGCGUGCGCAGGCGGUUAUAUAAGACAGUUGUGAAAUCCCCGGGCUCAACCUGGGAAUUGCAUCUGUGACUGUAUAGCUAGAGUACGGUAGAGGGGGAUGGAAUUCCG